rnacentral:rRNA from 1 species
UUCCGGUUGAUCCUGCCGGACCCGACUGCUAUUUGGGUGAGAAUAAGCCAUGCGAGUCGAAUGGGAUACCAAAAGUUCCCAUGGCGAACUGCUCAGUAACACAUGAUCAACUUGCCCUACGGAGAGAAAUACCCUCGGGAAACUGAGGAUAAUGUCUCAUAGUUGAUUAGGCUUGGAAAAGUUUUUCAAUUAAAGGGAUAAGAUAAAUGGUUCUUAUCUGCCGUAGGAUAGGAUCGUGGUCGAUUAUGGUUGUUGGUAAGGUAACGGCUUACCAAGCCGAUAAUCGAUAGGGGCCGUGAGAGCGGGAGCCCCGAGAUGGGUACUGAGACAACGACCCAGGCCUUACGAGGCGCAGCAGGCGCGAAACCUCCGCAAUACACGAAAGUGUGACGGGGUUACCCAAAGUGUCCUAAUCUGGACUGUGGUAGGUGAGUAAUGUCCCCUACUAGAAAGGAGAGGGCAAGGCUGGUGCCAGCCGCCGCGGUAAAACCAGCUCUUCAAGUGGUCGGGAUAAUUAUUGGGCUUAAAGCGUCCGUAGCCGGUUUAGUAAGUUCCUGGUAAAAUCGGGUAGCUUAACUAUCUGUAUGCUAGGAAUACUGCUAUACUAGAGGGCGGGAGAGGUCUGAGGUACUACAGGGGUAGGGGUGAAAUCCUAUAAUCCUUGUAGGACCACCAGUGGCGAAGGCGUCAGACUGGAACGCGCCUGACGGUGAGGGACGAAAGCCAGGGGAGCGAACCGGAUUAGAUACCCGGGUAGUCCUGGCCGUAAACGAUGCAUACUAGGUGAUGGCACGGCCAUGAGCCGUGUCAGUGCCGUAGGGAAACCGUUAAGUGUGCCGCCUGGGAAGUACGGUCGCAAGGCUAAAACUUAAAGGAAUUGGCGGGGGAGCACCACAAGGGGUGAAGCCUGCGGUUUAAU